rnacentral:misc_RNA from 1 species
UAAUAAGUGUUUUAUGGCACUUUUUAAAUCCAUAUCCACCUUGUGUGCAAUGUCAGUCGAUCUUCUUCAUUGGAGAUCGACCAAACAUCAACCUUUAUCUUUUAACUCUUUGUCUGAAAAAUAUUAUGAAUAAACAAUUCAAAAUA